rnacentral:lncRNA from 1 species
GAACCUCACCGUCCACUUCCACCUACGGGGCAUCCGCCACUCCCUCUCUCCUAUGCCCAGUCCUCUUCCCAGGCGCCCUGAACUCAGCCAUUACCCAGGCUGGCACCGCCUCCCACACUGAUCUCAAAGGUCUUCCCGGCCACCGACGUGGACCAUCACUCCCACACUGAUCUCAAAGGUCUUCCCGGCCACCGACGUGGACCAUCAGACUCACACACUUAUCUCAAAGGUCUUCCCGGCCACAGACAUGGACCAUUACUCCCACACUGAUCUCAAAGGUCUUGCCGGCCACCGACGUAGACCAUCACUCCCACACUGAUCUCAAAGGUCCUGCCGGGCACCGACGUGGACCAUCACUCCCACACUGAUCUCAAAGGUCUUCCGUCUUCCCAGCCACCGAUGUGGACCAUCACUCCCACAAUGAUCUCAAAGGUCUUGCCAGCCACCAAUGUG